rnacentral:lncRNA from 1 species
CAUACUUUGAAGUAUAUCAUGCUCUUGUUUCAGCCAGCAGCUGCCUAGAGCAAGGAUCUUGAUACCUUCCUCCUAUGCUUUAAGAUUAUGUAUUUCCAGGAAAAAAAAAAAACAAAAACAGGAUACAAACCUGAUCAGCUUCCAUUAUCUUCAAGUCGAAAAGGAAGUCUUUAAUCUAAGGCUCUGCCAUUUGUCAAGUAGAAAUGGUUUGAAGAUUGAGAGCUGCCUCUAAGGUCUUUUGGACCCAUGCUUCAAGGGUCAAGUGUUAACUUUUCAGAAACAACCUUUAAUGAGUCAGGAUAAAAACCAUCUGGUUCAGGGAUUCUUCUUUCAAAUGGAGGAAAUUCAGAAGAGACGAGAAAUUUCCCACCAUUAUAAGAAUUCCACUGGAGGCAUACUGAAGCAGCUCAGAAAAUCAAUGUAUCCGCUCCUAUCUUUCAUUCCUUUUGUCUUCCUGCCCAUCCAUGAAAGGAAGUGAAAAAGAAAUGUUGCAAAGAAGAAUAGAGAGACGAUAAGGUUUUCGUUCUACAGGCUGAAUGUGCAAAAUGUAAGCUCUCAAAUGAGAUUAAAAAAAAAUGCAGCCUUGCUUAUAAAAGGCGAAUGGGUCCUGGACAAUGCACUACAGACGCGGGUGCCUACAGGAUGUCUUGAGGCAGGUGGGUGGAAGUGUGAGGAAGCCACCUGGAAGAGGGAGGACAGGGCCCAAAUCAGACACAGCUCUCCAUCCUCCCUAAACAGGCUCGCCUAAGUGACACUUCCUUGUGUCCCAGGAAGUGACGAUCAGCCAGUGUAGAUGUUGUGACUCGCGGGUCUCACCCACUCCGAGGGUGCUGCAGGGCGCCCAGAGCGAGACGUCUUCCGCCGGCCCCAUUCCCGAAGAGGCCGCGCCG